rnacentral:lncRNA from 1 species
CCCGUAACCAUAACGCGAUCUACACCUACGGUCCUAGCCACACACCUGUCCAUUUUUAUUUUUUAAUUUCUCUGCCGACCAGAGUAAUCUCCGCCUAAUCUUCUGGCAGAUCUCUCCCAUCUCUCUCCUCUCUCGCAAUCCUCUCUCCCAUCUCUCUCCUCUCUGCCGUGGACCGACCCCGCAGCGCCGCUGCCCGCUAUCCAAGCCGCCAGGCGCCCCCCUACCCGUCGUCCCGCCGCCUCUGCGCCCGUCCCUGCGGCCCCGCGCCGCUGCCCCCCGUUCAAACCGCCGCCCGCUCCCAUCCCCGCCACCGUGCGCCUCGUCCCGCCAUCCAAGCCGCCGCGCGUCCUCUCCCUGCCGCCACGCGCCUCGUCCUGCCGACCCCGCCGCCACGCACCUCGUCCCUAGGCCUGGCCUCGGCCGUCGUCGCUGCACGCUUCUAGCACCCGCUGCCUCCCACGAAAUAGGGUCCUGUCACCGAUUGGUUAGAGGUACUUUGAUUUGUAGCUUCCAUGGCUAGAUUUCUAUUGAUUUGUGGCUUGAUUUCAGGUACUUUGAUUUUCUAUUGAUUUGUACCUUCUGUUUUCUAUUGAUUUGCAGGUAGAGUAGAUCAAAGUUUCCUUUCCUGGACAUAUUGACUUUUUUUUUCUUCCUAUCAUGAUCUUGUUUUGAGUCCGAAGGUGUAUUUCUUCUUUUUCUGUGAUGUACCAUUGGGUUAUGUUGUACCAUUGGGUUAGCGUCAGUGUGAUUGAGGAGGUACUUAUCGUGUGUUGUAAUUGUUUUUUCAUGUUUUAGGCAGGGAUUUCAUAUCACAAAUUGAUAAGUUAUUGUCAUGUACUUGACAUUUGCCUUGAUGUACAUCAAAUUAAGAAGGUACUUAAAAUUGAUAAUAUAUUGUAUCUAUCCUAAUGUACUUGACAUGUACCUUGUUGUAUUUGCUAUGUACUAAAAAUUAAUGAGGUACUAUUGUUGAGAAAGUACUUAGUACUUUUGAUUGUUCUCGUAUUUAUUAAUGAAUAUUGUAUAUAGGGUACUUAAAUUGAUGAGGUACAUAAAAUUGAUGACGUACUUGAAAUUGAGUAAUUCCGUCACGUUUAAAUUUGAUAAGGUACUUAAAAUUUUAUGUACAAAAGAAACAAAAAUUGACGUACUUGAAAUUGGCUAUUUUUAUUAUCAUAGACGACGAUACAUUUCGUAGAAUUUGUACUAAAAAAUAUUUAUGUACCAUCGUCUAGGGUACAUGUACUUGUCGUACUGUAAUACGUACCAACUAGUCAAAUUAAUACAAAAGAUAUAAGUGGCCCUCUAAAAUUAUUGUACAAAAGAAACACAUAUAUUAGAGAAAAAAAAUGAUUGGUUUUUACGUGAGACCGUGAGUGACUGACACAAAGAAAAGAGAAUAAAGAUAAAAAAAUGAUUGUGACCUGACACAAGCAGUGACGGACUCUCUCUAAUAUAACACAAAGUAAAUUAAUUUGGUGACCUCGGAUAAACGAGUGGCUACGAAGCUACGGGUAGAUCGCGUUAGCGUCACCGCUCCGCUCUGGCAUGUCACCGGUAGA